CCUACGGGAGGCAGCAGUGGGGAAUUUUCCGCAAUGGGCGAAAGCCUGACGGAGCAAUACCGCGUGAGGGAAGAAGGUCUGUGGAUUGUAAACCUCUUUUGUUAGGGAAGAUAAUGACGGUACCUAACGAAUAAGCAUCGGCUAACUCCGUGCCAGCAGCCGCGGUAAUA
rnacentral:rRNA from 1 species